rnacentral:tRNA from 1 species
GAGGGUGUAGCUCGGUGGUAGAGAGCAUGCUUAGCAUGCACAAGGUCCUGGAUUCAAUCUCCAGUACCUCCA